CGCUGAGUCCAUAUUCUGGCUGGAUCCUUAUGUUACGGUUCAGUGUAGGGGACUCAAACGCAGGACUCCUGAAUCUGCUGAACACAAGGGUUUAUUUACAGAGGUCACCAAUGUGUAUAUACAGAGAGUGCGGGGUAGUGCUAUGUACAGAAAUGUGAAGGACGGGCUCCAGGGAAAUCCAAGGGGGGGAACAUUCGUUCUCCAACUCUCCACAUUCACAACGGCUGUCCUCUUCUUUCACACUUGACGCACAGAUUCACACGAGAGGGGGGGUCCAGGGGGUCUGUAGACAGGAGACAGGGGUGAGACCGAUAUUCACAGAAAACACUUGACUUAUCUUGCUCUGAAGUUCGACUUUCACUAACGCGUGGCAGACAACGAUCCAGCAACGACCAGCAGUCCUCUCCUGGCUUAAAUGCCAUUCCCCUUGAUGGACGUCAGGUGUGAUGAUCUCCGUGGGCGUGGGCCGAGGGCGUGAACCCGCAAUGAGUUCCGCCCCGGCGACAGAGAGGAGGAGAGAGAGAGAGAGCACGAGAGAGAGAGAGAAAGACAAGAGGGGUCGCUCAGCGUCUCGCCGAUCCCCCAGGCCGUGACACAUCAACAAGAACCAACACAGUGAAUCUGGUGAAAAGGAGAAACAAAAAGAGACACACCACAAACGAGUUUCCCUGACUAACAUGAGAGGAGCAGUAACUGCAUAUUGAGGAAGAAACAGAAGCAUCCAAAGACAACUGAGAGUCUUCAGUGCACCGUGAACAGCAGUCACCUCAGAGCAACAGAGUCCUCGUGGCUGUCUGGGUUCUCUCCAGGAGCUUGGAGAUAAGAUACCAUAACUUAAAAAAAUGUUUAGAAUAAGUGUGAGCCUCUUUUACAACUUUACUUACAUCCUUCAAAUGUAAGAGCUGCUGGCACGUCUGGUGAGGGUUUGCCCACACCUAAUCUAAACCGAGCUUUAGUCCCUCUCGUACUUUGUUGAGUAUUGGCUUCAGCUGCACCAGUGCCUGCAAUGUGAGGUCAUUAAUAGACAGGGAGGAAAUAAUAGUUGAAUUAAUUCUGAAUGAAGACGUCAUGCCAAAUAUUCUUUGAUAGCCAUUACAGUCAUGAAUACACAGACUUUAUGAUUGCUUUUUUUCUUGUCAACAUGUAUUGUUCCCAAAUAACCACGGGCCACAACUGGAUCAGAUAGUUCCAUCAUUUCUCUUCAUCUGCAUUUUCGAUCUGGAAGCAGAAACAACAAUAACGAGGAGAAAUGGAAUUUUUAUAUUUAAGAACGAGGACUGUGUGGAGGAGAGCCGAGUCAGGUGACAGGUUGUUCACCUGAUCAACAAGCUGGAGUCAGAACCUGUGAUUUAUCCUCCCUGACUAUUGAGUUAUGUUUUAUGCUGGUGUUAUUUUCUUGUUUUGAGCCAAACCAGAUUUCUCUAUAGGAACUCUGUGUUAAAGGGUCAAUGCACCAAAUUAUGCUUUGAUAAGAGUUCAUUUCUCAUGCAAGGAAAGACACAAACUUCUCAGAGGGAUUAGUAGUGGGCACAAGUUAAAUGAGCUCAUAUCACUACGUUGGCUUUAUCAGCCCUGCACAGAACAGAUCGGUCUCAGACUUUUAGAUUCUCUUAAAUAAGUAGAAUCUGAAACUGAAGGUUUUAGAUUAAAUCUGAUUCCUAAAUCAAGAAGUAAAGCUUAAAGAAUAACCUAAGUUUGUAAUUUGGAACAAAGUUGUGUUAACUAAAACUAUCUUGAACUAAGGAAGGUUAAGUGUGACCUUCUUAGCUGCAAACCUAGAACUGGUCUAGUAGCUUUUAUAUCUGUCUUACUGUGACAUAAGUGCUGCAAAAGGGGUUUAUUUCUCUCUCUCUCUCUCUCAGUCCCUCUCUCUAAUUUUACCGUAUUUUCUCUAUAUAUGAUGUAGGUUUGGAUUUUCCCUGCUAAAUUGUGAUGGUCUGGCAGUCUCCAUCGGUCGACCUGCCUGUAUCGUGCCAGUUUAUGGGCGUCAUCAGGCCGGAAGGUGUUUCCCGUGUUGAAGCCGCCACACCUGUCUUCCAUCUAGAUUGGCCACUACUUAACUGAGCUUCAGUCAACGCUGGAUCGUUGAGUUACCGAGAACUUGGAGAGGAGUGUGUCAGAGAAGCGAAGGAUUUGUAAAUGUCGAGUGUUGGAGUUGUUUGCCUGUCACACCUGGACCACGAGCACAGUCCUGCAGGAUGGGAAAGUCCUGCAUUGGGUCCCGUUCUCACCACGCACCUUAACAUUGUCUGAGCCUGAGCCUUUUCAAGGUUCUGUUUUGCCAACUGACCCGCUACAUACAGUCUGUGCCAAAAACCAUUAACGUAAUCUAUCAAGUUCACUGGUGGCUCACCUGAUAACCACUUAUCGCACAGCACUGUCAAGGGUCCCUGAACUUUGUGGCCAAAGACCAAAUCAUUUGGGCUAAACCCAGUACUCUCCUGGCACACUUCUCACGCUGCCAACAGAAGCCACGGCAAACCUUCCUCCCAGUCACUCUUCAUUUCUGUGCAACAGGCACGUAACAAGGACUUCAGCGUUUGAUGGACGCGCUCUAAAGCACCUUGGCUCUGUGGAUGAUAAGGAGAGGCUUUGUUAUGUGUGAUGUUCAACAGCUUGAGAACUUGUGGAAAUAGAUUUGACGAAAAGUUUGAUCCCUGGUCACUCUGAAUAAUCUUCGGUAUGCCAAAUAAUAAACACUUUGAUUGAGAA